rnacentral:lncRNA from 7 species
ACAGAAGCGAACCCAGCCAUCGUUUCCAAGUACGCGCAGAGAGAGAGAGCCACAAGAGUUAGAGCGAAACAUCAGCGUAUGGAUCUAGGGGCUCGAGCAAGCAAGAGAGGAGAGAUGCCUGCGUCAAUAGAUCAUGUAUGAGGAAGUGAGGACACGAGUCAUCUGAAAAGCAAGUUGGUACCUAGAAUCUCAAGUCCCAGGUCAAGAACAGGUACCACAGGACGAGGCGCUUGAAGGAUGCUGUGCGAGUUCGUGAGAGGUCUAGGUCGUCGUCUCCCAGUCAACUUUGGGUUGCUGGACCGUUGUCUCCUUAUAAUGUAAUUACUUAAUUAUUUUGUAUAGAACUCCUGUUAUAAAGAUGUGACAUUCGAUCCUGUGCCAUGAUUCAUCAUAUGUGUGAGACUUGGUCCCAGCACACCUGGUGAUUAUGUUCGCGCCCGGGUUUUGGACCCCUAAAAUCCGGGUGUGACACAAAAUAAGGAAGAUAUAUGGCUCCUUAACCACAUUGUG